ensembl:lncRNA
AUUUGAGACGCGGCCGCGGUUGGAGACACAGGGAGUUGUCGAUUCGGCCCUAAGUUUUUUCCGCCGGACCGAGCAACAAACAAAAGUUGUGUUUUUUGUUUUUAUUUUUUAUGUGUUUAUUGUUUGCCGUUGGCUUUACUCGCGCGGGUUGGAAUGAAAUGCUGCCGUGUCGGUGACUCGAAAGCCUCCUGAUAUCUGUUUAUUUAUCUCUCUCUCUCGUCUGUCUGUCUCUCCAUCUAUCUGUCUGUCUGUCUGUCUGUCUGUCUGAACACCAGCCUCCUGAUAUCUGUUUAUUUAUCUCUCUCUCUCCGUCUGUCUGUCUCUCCAUCUGUCUGAACAUCAGCCUCCUGAUAUCUGUUUAUUUAUCUCUCUCCGUCCGUCUGUCUGUCUGUCGGUCUUGUUCUUGCUGUUUUUCUUGCUCCCCCGGAGAUGUAUUAGUAAGCGGUUGUGGGUGUGUAAUAAACUCGUUACCGUUAGUAAAGAUGGGAAUGGGCGGAGUCUUAUGGAGUUAUCUCCAGCCACAGCCGAGGGCCGGAUCCACACCUCCAUCUUCAGAAAUAACUCGCCACAUCUCUGCUUGCACUUUAGUUAACGAUGCGGCGGCGCUUUAGUGCUUUUAUUCUGUCGAGCGCUUUCAUUUGAGUCUGACGUUUGCUCUACUGCCGCUUUCAUUAAUUACAGCGAGCGGAAAAAAGAUAGUUCAUUUAUAGUGCAGAGGCUGAACCGCUGUGAAUGAGUGUGUGUGUGUGUGUGUGUGUGUGUGUGUGUGUGUGUGUGAGUGAAAGAGAGAGCCACAGUGUGUGUCCACUUCCUCUUCUGAGAAACCAGUGUCAUUCUGACGGGCAAGUAAUGCUGAAACGAGAGACUGAACCUGUCUGUCUGCGUGUCACUGGAUUUGACUCAAACACGUGACCCGCCUUUAAACACGAACGUUUACGGAGUCGGGCGACUGAAAUGAGAAUAUCAGAGACGUCAUUAUUUUGACAGUCGAUUAAUCAGAGGGUUAUUUAUUGAUUGAUCGGGCAGUUACAUUGUCGCUUAAUCGGACGGAUUUUUCACAUUGCUUAAUCAUAUGCUUAUUUUAGCGAUUAAUCGGACGGUUACAUCUUCACACACACACAUCCGGUAAACUCUCGCGUGUUCAUAAUGGAGAGAAGUCGAAGGCGCGCGAGUCUCCUGAUGACCACGACUUUGUCGCGUUUCGUUUCUACGGUUACAGAAAGCAGACGGGCUGACAGACAGACGCCGUAGUCUCGUACGUUAGCUGAACAAAGCUAGCUAGGUAAAAUAUCUCGCAUUAGCUAGCUAGGUCGUUGAUGUAGGAAUUAACUUGUUAACUUUCCUGAUGUGAUCGCUAGCGUCUUGGCCGACGUGAAAUCCACCGGAGGCGGAGCUCCUCGGACACGGUGUUCCUCCUGGCAGCCGGUGACGUUAAAAUCGUCCUCGGCUGGCGUGGGAAGGGUUCGACAGUUUCCCGGCGUACGCCCGGUGUGCUGGAGCUCCUGUGAAACAUGAUUGGUGUUUUAAUACAGAGUCGGGGUGAAGAUGCAGUAACGUAGUCCGUCGUUCUCAGAACAGCAGACGUUCCAGGUAUCGAGUGUUUACAUAGCUGUGUGUGUGUUUAAAGUGCGUUAUCUACAUCCUGUGUGACAGGACAAAGUCGCGUCCCGCUGUGAAAUCUGGAAAGCGGCGAUAGCUGCGAGCGAUCGAUGUGUCUCAGGGACGUUCAGUCAGGAUCACUUCCUCCACCUGCUCACACCGUUAAUCCCAAACACUUUUAUUAUUUCUCUUUUAAUCCGCGCGUCUCGGUCCUCGCCCAGGACGACAGGUACGUGUCGUUACUCUCUGCUCUGUAAUCUCUUAUUUCUCAUC